UCGAGCUGUUGGAGGAAUCGAAUACCAGAUUAAUUCAGCACAUAUUGAAUUAUGAAACCAGUGUAACAUUUUUACACUUGUUUAUCCAGUCAUUGAUCAUUGUAACUAGAAUGGUUUCGGAUAUUGUUAUAUUAGUUUGACUUUCUUGUCAAGAAAUAUUCACAAUCUGAUGAUGGGAUUUAACAAAAUGUUGGCACAAUUAUAUAUUUUGAAAAACGUUUUUUUCAUGGAUAUGAUGAUUUUUACAAAUUGAUCAUUCAGUUUAAAACACAAUAACCCCUGGAUAAGGCUUCUUCACUCUGUUAGAGAUGAGGCAAUGUGGAUUAUGCCAUUGCUCAUUGUUUUCCACAAGAGGGCAGUGUUGUUCUGCUUUUCUUUGAGAGCUUCAACCUCUGCUUUGAUAUGAUAUCACAACAACUCACAUUCGGACUAAAAUACCACAACUUGCAUCUGGCCUACGAAGUACUUGUGCAACACUAGGUGUCACCCGUCUUCCCCAUUAUCCCCUGGGUACUUAAACCUGUGUUAUCUUUGUCUGUUGCCAAUUUGUCUUGUUUGUCAAGUCAACCAGUGUUUUGUCUCAGCUCCUGCUUUCCCCCAGUCUUUCUUUUCUCGCUCUCCUGGUUUUGAUCUUUGCCUGUCCUGACUCUUAGCCCGCCUGCCUGAUCACUCUGCCUGCCCCUGACCCUGCCUGCCGUCCUGUGCCUUUGUCCCUACUCUGGAUUACCAACCUCUGCCUGACCUGAACCUGAGCCUGCCUGCCGUCCUGUGCCUUUGCCACUACUCUGGAUUACCAACCUCUGCCUGACCUGAACCUGAGCCUGCCUGCCGUCCUGUGCCUUUGUCCCUACUCUGGAUUACCAACCUCUGCCUGACCUGAACCUGAGCCUGCCUGCCGUCCUGUGCCUUUGCCACUACUCUGGAUUACCAACCUCUGCCUGACCUGAACCUGAGCCUGCCUGCCGUCCUGUGCCUUUGCCACUACUCUGGAUUACCCCCUGCAUGCCUUGACCUGUCGUUAGCCGGCCCCUGUUGCUGUAAUAAACAUUGUUACUUGCUAUUGUUCCCACCGUUGACCAGGCUCAAUCUGAACUACAGUCUACCUUCAUUGUACUACAGAAACUUUAUUGACCUGAAAUUAGUACUGAAUGCAGGUAAAAACGAGUCUGUUCUCUAGAGAGCAUAAAAGUCUGAUUUAAGCAUAUGUACUUUGGUGCCCAUAUUCAACAUGUCUGUGCUUACACAUAUCUGGGCAUCUGGAUAGACGAAAAGUUUUCAUUAAAUAAGCAUAUUGAUGAGUUAACGAAGAAGCUGAGAAUAAAAAUGGGCUUCUUCUUUAGAAAUAGGUUUGGCCUGUUCCUACCGGUCCUAGACUAUAGCAACAUCAUCUAUAUGAACACAGCUGCCACAUCAUUAAAGCCGUUAUAUGCAUUUGAUCAUAUUACGGGCGACAAUGUUAGUUAUCAUCACCGCAUUCUCUACCAGAAAGUUCCUUGGCCCUCUUUGAUGUCACAUACUGUAGGUUGAUACAUUACUAUGUUUUCAUUUAUAAAGCACUUUUACAAAAAGUCCCACUGUACCUAACAUUUCGACUAAACCCUCGACGAAUGAGUUACCACACCUGGUCUCAGGGAUGACUCUGGAAAUUCCUUUGGUCUCUACUGAAUGAGGUAAAUCAGCUUUUAGUUUUCUUGCAACUUGUUUGUGGACCAAUCUUUAAAUUGUAAUUACAUUUCAUGUUCUGGUGCCUCUAGGGUAAUUCAGAAAGCGGAUUGAGGACCUUAUUCCUGUGUUUUUUUUAUGACCGUGCUUUUCUUUCUGCUUUAAUUUUUGUUUUUAUAUUUUCAUGGGUGUUUUCUGUAAUUUAUGUAGCUUGGGGCCCAUCUGUAAGAUAUCUUGGUCUCAGUAUGACUCCCUGAUAAAAUAAAGGUUCAAUGAAAUGGGCGCCAAGAUCGCGUCAAAUAAAUAAUAA